rnacentral:rRNA from 1 species
AGCAGUAGCCACGGGAAUACGUAGGGUGCGAGCGUUGUCCGGAAUUACUGGGCGUAAAGAGCUCGUAGGCGGUUUGUCGCGUCGUCUGUGAAAUUCUGCAGCUUAACUGUAGGCGUGCAGGCGAUACGGGCAGACUUGAGUACUACAGGGGAGACUGGAAUUCCUGGUGUAGCGGUGAAAUGCGCAGAUAUCAGGAGGAACACCGGUGGCGAAGGCGGGUCUCUGGGUAGUAACUGACGCUGAGGAGCGAAAGCGUGGGUAGCGAACAGGAUUAGAUACCCCAGUAGUCCCUGUCUCUUAUAA